CUUCAAGUGAUGAAAUCUUAAUCCAGUUCUGCUACUGAAGCAUCUGCGAUGAGCCUUUAUCCUUCUGAUGAAG